GACGAACGCUGGCGGCGUGCUUAACACAUGCAAGUCGAACGGAAAGGCCCUGCUUUUGUGGGGUGCUCGAGUGGCGAACGGGUGAGUAACACGUGAGUAACCUGCCCUUGACUUUGGGAUAAGUUCAGGAAACUGGGGCUAAUACCGGAUAGGAGCUCCUGUUGCAUGGUGGGGGUGGGAAAGUUUCGGCGGUGGGGGAUGGAUUCGCGGCUGAUCAGCUUGUUGGUGGGGUAGUGGAUUACCAAGGGUUGGACGGGUAGCCGGCCUGUGAGGGUGGACGGCCACAUUGGGACUGAGAUACGCCCCAGACUCCUACGGGAGGCAGCAGUGGGGAAUAUUGCACAAUGGGCGGAAGCCUGAUGAAGCAACGCCGCGUGCGGGAUGACGGCCUUCGGGUUGUAAACCGCUUUCGCCUGUGACGAAGCGGGAGUGACGGUAAUGGGUAAAGAAGCACCGGCUAACUACGUG
rnacentral:rRNA from 1 species